AGUGAACGCUGGCGGUAGGCCUAACACAUGCAAGUCGAACGGCAGCACAGUAAGAGCUUGCUCUUACGGGUGGCGAGUGGCGGACGGGUGAGGAAUACAUCGGAAUCUACUUUUUCGUGGGGGAUAACGUAGGGAAACUUACGCUAAUACCGCAUACGACCUACGGGUGAAAGCAGGGGAUCUUCGGACCUUGCGCGAUUGAAUGAGCCGAUGUCGGAUUAGCUAGUUGGCGGGGUAAAGGCCCACCAAGGCGACGAUCCGUAGCUGGUCUGAGAGGAUGAUCAGCCACACUGGAACUGAGACACGGUCCAGACUCCUACGGGAGGCAGCAGUGGGGAAUAUUGGACAAAGGGCGCAAGCCUGAUCCAGCCAUACCGCGUGGGUGAAGAAGGCCUUCGGGUUGUAAAGCCCUUUUGUUGGGAAAGAAAAGCAGCAGGUUAAUACCCCGCUGUUCCGACGGUACCCGAAGAAUAAGCACCGGCUAACUUCGUG
rnacentral:rRNA from 1 species